UACGGGGGGAGCAAGCGUUGUUCGGAUUUACUGGGCGUAAAGGGCGCGUAGGCGGCAAUUCAAGUCAUCUGUGAAAUCUCCGGGCUUAACUCGGAAUGGUCAGGUGAUACUGCUUUGCUAGAGUGCAGAAGGGGCAAUCGGAAUUCUUGGUGUAGCGGUGAAAUGCGUAGAUAUCAAGAGGAGCACCUGAGGUGAAGACGGGUUGCUGGGCUGACACUGACGCUGAGGCGCGAAAGCUAGGGGAGCAAACGGG
rnacentral:rRNA from 1 species